rnacentral:rRNA from 1 species
UACGUAGGGGGCGAGCGUUGUCCGGAAUUAUUGGGCGUAAAGCGCGCGUAGGCGGCUGGUUAAGUCCUGUGUGAAAGACCACGGCUCAACCGUGGGGGUGCACGGGAAACUGGCCGGCUUGAGUGCAGGAGAGGGGAGCGGAAUUCCCGGUGUAGCGGUGGAAUGCGUAGAGAUCGGGAGGAACACCAGUGGCGAAGGCGGCUCCCUGGCCUGUAACUGACGCUGAGGCGCGAAAGCGUGGGGAGCGAACAGGAUUAGAUACCCUGGUAGUCCACGCCGUAAACGAUGAGUGCUAGGUGUUGGGGGCGUCAGGCCCUCUGUGCCGAAGGUAACCCAAUAAGCACUCCGCCUGGGGAGUACGGCCGCAAGGCUGAA